GGUCAAGCUAGUAAGGGCAUGCGAUGGAUGCCUUGGCGUCGAGAGGCGAUGAAGGACGUGGAUAGCUGCGAUAAGCCUCGGGGAGCUGCUAACAAGCAUUGAUCCGGGGAUUUCCGAAUGGGGAAACCCGAGGAGGGUCAUACCUCCCAUCGUCCGGCACAAUUAAUAACCGGACGAGGCGAACGAGGGGAAGUGAAACAUCUCAGUACCCUCAGGAAGAGAAAGUAAUAACGAUUCCCUAAGUAGCGGCGAGCGAACGGGGAACAGCCCAAACCGUAUAAACAUGUGGCCUGCACGCUUAGUUUAUACGGGGUUGUGGGGUGUCGAGGGGCGGACUUGCAGGUCCGCCGGGAGAGGCCGUCUAAUGAGCGGCCUGAUCUGUAGUUGAACGGUCUGGAAAGGCCGGCCAUAGCGGGUGAUAGCCCCGUCAGCGAAACGGUGAAAAUCUUCUGCUUGAUAUCCCCAAGUACGGCGGGACACGAGGAACCCUGUCGGAAUCUGGGAGGACCAUCUCCCAAGGCUAAAUACUACUCGACGACCGAUAGUGAACUAGUACCGUGAGGGAAAGGUGAAAAGUACCCCUUUUAGGGGAGUGAAAUAGUACCUGAAAUCGCAUGCCUACAAGCAGUGGGAGCCCUAUGGUCGCAAGCUUCGGCCUGUGUCCAGGGUGACCGCGUACCUUUUGCAUAAUGGGUCAGCGACUUACUUUAUGUGGCAAGGUUAAGCCUUAGGUUAAGUCUGAAGGUGUAGCCGUAGCGAAAGCGAGUCUGAAUAGGGCGACAAGUCGCAUGGAGUAGACCCGAAGCCGAGUGAGCUAGCCAUGGCCAGGAUGAAGAGUGGGUAAAACCACCUCGGAGGUCCGAACCCGGUGAGGUUGAAAACUCAUGGGAUGAGCUGUGGUUAGGGGUGAAAGGCCAAUCAAACUCGGUGAUAGCUGGUUCUCCCCGAAAUAUAUUUAGGUAUAGCCUCGCGUGUCAGCGACGGAGGUAGAGCACUGGAUGGGCUAGGGGUCUCAACAGAUUACCAAACCCAACCAAACUCCGAAUGCCGUCGACUGCAAUCGCGGGAGUCAGACUGCGGGUGAUAAGGUCCGUAGUCGAAAGGGAAACAGCCCAGACCGCCGGCUAAGGUCCCGAAGUGUAUGCUAAGUGGGAAAGGAAGUGGAAGCGCAUUGACAACCAGGAGGUUGGCUUAGAAGCAGCCACCCUUUAAAGAAAGCGUAACAGCUCACUGGUCGAUGUGAAUCUGCGCCGAAAAUGUAACGGGGCUCAAGCAUACCACCGAAGCCGCGGGAUCGGUCCCGAUUCGUCGGGAUGGAUCGGUAGGGGAGCGUUCCAGUCGCCUGUGAAGGUAGACCGUAAGGACUGCUGGAGGUACUGGAAGUGAUAAUGCUGACAUGAGUAGCGACUAUGCCGGUGAGAAUCCGGCACGCCGAAUGCCCAAGGGUUCCUGGGGAAGGUCAAUCCGCCCAGGGUUAGUCGGACCCUAAGCCGAGGCCGAAAGGCGUAGGCGAUGGAAAACAGGUUAAUAUUCCUGUACCGCUAGGGUGUAACUAUGAAGCUGCAAGGGAGGACGGAGAUUGGUAAGUCAUCCUACUAUCGGAUGUAGGUUCAAGCUCGCAGGGGUUUCCAACGGAUAAUAAACGGGAAAUUCACCCCGAGGAGCGAAGAGGAGGGUCUUAGACCCGUAAACUGACUGAUCCUAUGCUUCCAAGAAAAGUCCCGCAGUGGAGUGCACUCUGGUGUCCGUACCGUAAACCAACUCAGGUGGGUAGGAAGAGAAUUCUAAGGCGUGUGAGAUAACCCUCGUUAAGGAACUCAGCAAAUUGGCACCGUAACUUUGGGAAAAGGUGUGCCCGUAUUAGGUGUAAGUUAUUCUUCUGAAGCCGAAGCGGGUUGCAAUGACCAGGCGGUAGCGACUGUUUACUAAAAACAUAGGACUCUGCAAACUCGUAAGAGGAAGUAUAGGGUCUGACGCCUGCCCGGUGCUGGAAGGUUAAGGGGAGCGGUUAGUCUUCGGACGAAGCUGUGAACCGAAGCCCCAGUAAACGGCGGCCGUAACUAUAACGGUCCUAAGGUAGCGAAAUUCCUUGUCGGGUAAGUUCCGACCUGCACGAAUGGCGUAACGACUUCCGCACUGUC
rnacentral:rRNA from 1 species